rnacentral:rRNA from 1 species
GCACAAGCGGUGGAUCAUGUUGUUUAAUUCGACGAUACGCGAAGAACCUUAUCAGGUCUUGACAUCCCCUGCAAAGCUAUGGAGACAUAGUGAGGUUAUCAGGGAGACAGGUGGUGCAUGGUUGUCGUCAGCUCGUGUCGUGAGAUGUUGGGUUAAGUCCCGCAACGAGCGCAACCCUUAUUGCUAGUUACCAUCAUUAAGUUGGGGACUCUAGCGAGACUGCCAGUGAUAAACUGGAGGAAGGUGGGGAUGACGUCAAAUCAUCAUGCCCCUUAUGACCUGGGCUACAAACGUGAUACAAUGGCUGAAACAAAGGGCAGCGAAGGAGCGAUCUGGAGCGAAACCCAAAAAAGCAGUCUCAGUUCGGAUUGAAGUCUGCAACUCGACUUCAUGAAGUCGGAAUCGCUAGUAAUCGCGGAUCAGAACGCCGCGGUGAAUACGUUCUCGGGGUUU